rnacentral:rRNA from 1 species
GACGAACGCUGGCGGCGUGCUUAACACGUGCAAGUCGAACGAUGAAGCCUAGCUUGCUAGGUGGAUUAGUGGCGAACGGGUGAGUAAUACGUGAGUAACCUACCUUUAACUCUGGGAUAAGCCCGGGAAACUGGGUCUAAUACCGGAUACGACCAAUCUCCGCAUGGGGUGUUGGUGGAAAGCGUUAUGUAGUGGUUAUAGAUGGGCUCACGGCCUAUCAGCUUGUUGGUGAGGUAACGGCUCACCAAGGCGACGACGGGUAGCCGGCCUGAGAGGGUGACCGGCCACACUGGGACUGAGACACGGCCCAGACUCCUACGGGAGGCAGCAGUGGGGAAUAUUGCACAAUGGGCGCAAGCCUGAUGCAGCGACGCCGCGUGAGGGAUGACGGCCUUCGGGUUGUAAACCUCUGUUAGCAGGGAAGAAGAGAGAUUGACGGUACCUGCAGAGAAAGCGCCGGCUAACUACGUG